GAGUUUGAUCCUGGUUCAGAUUGAACGCUGGCGGCAUGCUUUACACAUGCAAGUCGAACGGCAGCACGGACUUCGGUCUGGUGGCGAGUGGCGAACGGGUGAGUAAUACAUCGGAACGUGCCCAGUUGUGGGGGAUAACUACUCGAAAGAGUAGCUAAUACCGCAUGAGAACUGAGGUUGAAAGCAGGGGAUCGUAAGACCUUGCGCAACUGGAGCGGCCGAUGGCAGAUUAGGUAGUUGGUGGGAUAAAAGCUUACCAAGCCGACGAUCUGUAGCUGGUCUGAGAGGACGACCAGCCACACUGGGACUGAGACACGGCCCAGACUCCUACGGGAGGCAGCAGUGGGGAAUUUUGGACAAUGGGCGAAAGCCUGAUCCAGCAAUGCCGCGUGCAGGAUGAAGGCCUUCGGGUUGUAAACUGCUUUUGUACGGAACGAAAAGCUUCGGGUUAAUACCCUGGAGUCAUGACGGUACCGUAAGAAUAAGCACCGGCUAACUACGUGCCAGCAGCCGCGGUAAUAC
rnacentral:rRNA from 1 species